UCCGAUAUGGUGUAGUGGCUAACAUUAUCGCCUCUCAACAACAAACGAUGACGCGAUAGCCCGGGGUUCGAUUCCCCGUGUCGGAA